rnacentral:rRNA from 1 species
AUGGAGGCGGCGGCCUCAGCAGCUGUUGCGGCCGCCAAGGAGACGGCGCUGGCUGCGGCUGCUGCAGCAUCGGCUGCUUCCAAGGAGGCGGCGGCGGCGGCGGCGGCUGCGACGGAGGCAGCGGCGACUGCCAAGGAGGCGGCGGCGAAGGCUUCGGCUGCUGCGUUAAACGCGAAGGAGGCAGCGGCUGUGGCGACGGCUACAGGGGAGGCGGUGGCUGCUACCGUUGCUGCUGCGAUGGCGGCACUGCAAGCUUCAAAGAAGCAAAAUGAUUGCUGUCAGUUUGACAACCAAAUGCACAGCAUGAGGGUUUUGGUUCUCAGCUCCGCUGGCCCUAAUCUGGAUGCAGUGGUUAACUUGCUCAAGUGCUUUCUUCGCUUGGAGUGGUUGCAUGUCACUUUCCAGUUAAGGGAGGUUAUCAAUAAUGUCCGGAGUUAUGAUCCACUGGACCCAAUUGAAUGCCUUGAGCUCCAUCUCAAAAAGGUGGUGUUGAAGAAUUAUGACGGCCUCUGUGGUUCAUCUAUUAACUUUGCCAAGUUCUUUGUUCUGAAUGCAAAAGGGCUAAAGGAAAUGAAAAUCACAUUGCCUUACCACCGCCAACACAAAUGGUUUGCUAAUCAGCUCAGCAUGCUGCGAGUCAACAGUAGAGCUUCACGAGAUGCUCGAAUUGAAAUGAGAUGUGGCAGUCGCGAGUAUUUCACACACAUCAGGUGUACCCAUGAUUUGUCAAUGGACAACCCUUUUGACUUGCCCCACCGAGGAUGCUUGAAGUGUGAAGAGAAGGGUCUGGGAGAUGCUGUAUACACAUUUAAUUAG